rnacentral:tRNA from 3 species
UAAUUCAACUACAAGAACCUUA